rnacentral:lncRNA from 1 species
CGGGCCUGUUCCUUUUGAACUGACUGCUGGCCAGGAAACAUCAGGACCCAGCAUGGAAAUAGAGAACAAAUCUGGAAUCCACUGUGAGCCGUGAUCUUAGGCGACUCUGUUCCUGGAAUUGUUCCAGAGAUGCCACACGGUGAAGGUCACGGCCUGUGAACCAAAUGCUGUUCACAGGUACAUGACUGAAAUGCAAGCUAAAAUCUGCUGCCAACGCAAACACAGUUAGAAAACUUCCAGCAUUCAGUGCUCCUGGCUUCUCCGAAAGGUAAUAAAACCUGACCAUCCUGGGUCUGUGCCGUGCAAGAUGCCAAUACGUGGGAGCUCAAAGUUUACCCUGCCUCUUCACAACCCGGGAGCCUCCACCCUACUUCCUGGUGGCCUUUCUGUUGCCUCUGACCUGGAUCCAAGAGUCACUGCAUCUUGUGGUGUCUACUUUAGAGCAAGUCAACCCAGGAGUCGCAGAGGAAACAGAGCAGCAUCUUGUAGUGUGAAGAACCAGCUCCCAUUCUGUAUUUAACCAUCUGUCUUGUCUUUUAUCCGGUGGUGCUGAGACGGGGAUCCUUGGAGCGAAGUGCAGUGCAGACACUUGAUGAGCUUCCGGUCGUCCCUGUUCAAUCACGUGGGGCUUUCCAGGAUCACUGUGUUGCCGAAUGGCAUAAGAUGAGGUGCCA